rnacentral:rRNA from 1 species
GAUGAACGCUGGCGGCGUGCUUAACACAUGCAAGUCGAACGGGAUCCCAGGAGCUUGCUCCUGGGUGAGAGUGGCGAACGGGUGAGUAAUGCGUGACCGACCUGCCCCAUACACCGGAAUAGCUCCUGGAAACGGGUGGUAAUGCCGGAUGCUCCAGUUGGAUGCAUGUCCUUCUGGGAAAGAUUCAUCGGUAUGGGAUGGGGUCGCGUCCUAUCAGCUUGAUGGCGGGGUAACGGCCCACCAUGGCUUCGACGGGUAGCCGGCCUGAGAGGGCGACCGGCCACAUUGGGACUGAGAUACGGCCCAGACUCCUACGGGAGGCAGCAGUGGGGAAUAUUGCACAAUGGGCGCAAGCCUGAUGCAGCGACGCCGCGUGCGGGAUGACGGCCUUCGGGUUGUAAACCGCUUUUGACUGGGAGCAAGCCCUUCGGGGUGAGUGUACCUU